AACUCGUAACGGUGGAUGUCUUGGCUCCCACAACGAUGAAGAACGCAGCGAAAUGCGAAACGUAAUGCGAAUUGCAGAACUCGUGAAUCAUCAAAUCUUUGAACGCAAGUUGCGCUCAUGGGUAAUCCUGUGAGCAUGUCUGUUUGAGUGUCCG
rnacentral:rRNA from 2 species